AACAGAUUUCAGUCUGUUUACAGAGUAGGUAGGGCAUGGUCAUCAACAAUGGAAGCUUCCCCACAUUGCCCUACCAAUGUGUCUCAGCCUUGACUUUGGGACUUAUAGAAUACAAACCUGGAGAUAUGUU
ensembl:misc_RNA